GUCAGUGUGGCGUAAUGGUUUGAGUGGUGAACUCCAACUCUGGAGACCAGGGUUCGAAUCCCAGCUCAACCA